rnacentral:lncRNA from 1 species
GGGGAGCCUGCUUGGAGUUGGAUGGUGAAGGAGACUGGCCUUUACCGCAUCGAUGUGGUUUUCCUGGGACCAUUCUCCUGAGGAGUGGGGGCGGGACCCUGCUUAGAGAAGGGGAUGGUGGGUGAGCCUCCUGCUCUGUAAUCUGACAUCCUUUUCCCCACCUCUUCCAGCGAAGGCCCCGGGGAGCCGCCUCUUCAUCCACUCACAGGUCACUCCCUUCUUAGCUGGAACCUGGACCCUGGCUCAACUUGAAUUCCUUGGCCUCCCACUGGUUUCUCUCUGGAGCUGCAUUUUUCAACCUGUUGUUUGUGACUCUGUUCCAUGUGUCUUCAUUCUGGGGCUCGGGCUGAAAAAGCAGCUUCAAUCUGGUGGCAGAGGGGAAGAGCAAGAAAGAUGGUGGAAACGUGAGGUCCAAAGGCCUUAGCUUGGGCAUGGUCUAUGUCCCUCCUGUUCCUAUUCCAUUUGCUGAAAGGAGUCUUAUCGCCAAGUCCAACAGUAGGAUGGGAAGUACAAUUCUCCCACAAGGAUGGGUACCAGGGAGAGGCCCUGUAGGGAUGGGUUGGGAGAGAAGGGAGUGGAUUUUUUAACACGUCAUACCACACCC